UUUUUUUUUUUUUGCAUUUGGUUCUCUUUCUCUUUCGAAAGAAACGAAAACUUGAAAGCAAGAAUCGAUUUUUCAAAAUUUGAUUCACAACCCAUCAGUUUCCAGAUAACAAAUUGAUCUCUCCUCACCGCCAUCUUUUCCACGGAUUCGUCCUAUCGGGGUUGAUGGAAGUGGGAAGAAGAAGGCAUGUGGGUUUUCUGUUGGCAAGAAGAAAUUGAUAACGUAACUGACUCCAGCUGCUAAAGCUAAAGCUGCUCAAGCUAUGGAGCUAGACAAUUGACAAGGAACCUCAGUUUUCUUUUCACUUGUAUGUAACCCUCUGUUCUACAUUGUCAUCUUUGUCUCUUUAGUUUCGUUUGAAAAAAUCAAGUUGAAGCUAGCUUCUUCCUUUUAAUAGGUUAUAUACUCUUAUGUAUCACUCUUCUUUUCGAGUUCAAGAUUUUGCUAUCAAACCUGCUCGGAUCAAUGUCGAUUCUGCUAUAAAUGAUCUGAAGGCACUAAUGUUGUAACUUGUAACACAGUACAGACUCAACAAAACUCAACAUAGAACAAGAAAUCAAUGUUCA